rnacentral:rRNA from 1 species
UACGUAUGGUGCAAGCGUUAUCCGGAUUUACUGGGUGUAAAGGGAGCGUAGGCGGCGCGUUAAGUCUGAUGUGAAAACCCGAGGCUCAACCACGGGAGUGCAUUGGAAACUGGCGAGCUGGAGUGCCGGAGAGGUAAGCGGAAUUCCUAGUGUAGCGGUGAAAUGCGUAGAUAUUAGGAGAAACACCAGUGGCGAAGGCGGCUUACUGGACGGCAACUGACGCUGAGGCUCGAAAGCGUGGGGAGCAAACAGG